UCCCUGGUGGUCUAGUGGUUAGGACUCUGCACUUUUACUGCAGUGGCCAGGGUUCAAACCCUGGCUGAGGAA